GACGAACGCUGGCGGCGUGCUUAACACAUGCAAGUCGAACGGCAAGGCCCUGCUUUUGUGGGGUGCUCGAGUGGCGAACGGGUGAGUAACACGUGAGUAACCUGCCCUUGACUUUGGGAUAACUUCAGGAAACUGGGGCUAAUACCGGAUAGGAGCUCCUGCUGCAUGGUGGGGGUGGGAAAGUUUCGGCGGUUGGGGAUGGACUCGCGGCUUAUCAGCUUGUUGGUGGGGUAGUGGCUUACCAAGGCUUUGACUGGUAGCCGGCCUGAGAGGGUGACCGGACACAUUGGGACUGAGAUACGGCCCAGACUCCUACGGGAGGCAGCGGUGGGGAAUAUUGCACAAUGGGCGGAAGGCUGAUGCAGCAACGCCGCGUGCGGGGUGACGGCCUUCGGGUUGUAAACCGCUUUCGCCUGUGACGAGGCGUGAGUGACGGUAAUGGGUAAAGAAGCACCGGCUAACUACGUG
rnacentral:rRNA from 1 species